GACGAACGCUGGCGGCGUGCUUAACACAUGCAAGUCGAACGGAAAGGCCCUGCUUUUGUGGGGUGCUCGAGUGGCGAACGGGUGAGUAACACGUGAGUAACCUGCCCUUGACUUUGGGAUAACUUCAGGAAACUGGGGCGAAUACCGGAUAGGAGCUCCUGCUGCAUGGUGGGGGAUGGAAAGUUUCGGCGGUUGGGGAUGGACUCGCGGCUUAUCAGCUGGUUGGUGGGGUAGUGGCUUACCAAGGCUUUGACGGGUAGCCGGCCUGAGAGGGUUACCGGCCACAUUGGGACUGCGAUACGGCCCAGACUCCUACGUGAGGCAGCAGUGGGGAACAUUGCACAAUGGGCGGAAGCCUGAUGCAGCAACGCCGCGUGCGGGAUGACGGCCUUCGGGUUGUAAACCGCUUUCGCCUGUGACGAAGCGUGAGUGACGGUAAUGGGUAAAGAAGCACCGGCUAACUACGUG
rnacentral:rRNA from 1 species